ensembl:lncRNA
GGGGCGGCCUGGAGCGGGGAGCUGCGUGCCGCAAGUUUUGCCCGGAGUGCCAAAGUUGGGCUCAGCCCAGGUUCCUGGAAACUUGAGGAGCAAUCUUCUGUGCCUGAAGAAUGCAGUUCUCACCGGAUGUGUGUAUCCUACAUGAAGGGGAACAGAAGCAGGAUCAGCUGGGGUCCAGGAAAGACAACUUCAGGAGAUUUGAGAGCACUCUGGAGUGAACCAGGAGGAAGCCUUGAACUACAAUUGUGUCAGUAAGAGUGGCUGUCCUUGGGAGAUGCUGAAGCUCAGCUUUAUCAUGAACUUUUCUUACACCCCUCAACAUAUGCACAAAGGACUUAAUUUUGUUUGGGAUUCAUGUGGUAUGAAAGAGUCAUGGCUGUAUGGGUUUCUUCCUCCCUUCACUUGAUGUCUGUAUGUUUCCUGCAGUCAGUAAUGAAGUCUGUACAAGGUCUGCUGACAUUUGGUUUGCUUUCAAGAGCUCUGAGUGACAGGUACUGUAAACAUCCUACACUCUCAGCUGUGGAAACUAAGAAAGCUGGGAGAAGGCUGUUUACUCUCCCUGCCUUGGAAAUCAUCUGGAGGGCGAGGAUGGAACGUUGUGAGCUCUGUGUUCAUUGUAUUUCUGACAGCCUGUAUUUCUUAUUUUAUGUUUGGUGUCAGUAAACAAAUAAUAGCAUUAUAUCAUGCCAUCAAGCUCUUGAGUUCUGACUGAGGCUUGAACUCAUAAUAAUAAUUUUAAAAAAGGGCCUUCUGUACAAUACACUUAGCUGCAGUCCUGGCUUGAGGGAAACGCAAAUGGUAGCAGUAACACACAACAAGACCUUCAUCCUUAAAUACUGGGUAAAACAGACCUAUUUUACUGUUUGUUACAAGUUAGUGUGCAUGUUUUCAGGUCCACACAUCAGUGGUGUCUUUUGUUAAAGUCCUCCUUAAAUGUUUGGGUCUUGUGUUCACUCAAUUUAUGUUUUCCUACCUAGAGAGACUAGAAACAGAUGUCUGAAGGCAAAAAAAGGGUUCUCGGGGACUUCAAGUUUCAGUUCCUAUUUGAAGAAAUUGAGAUAUCAACCCCAGGUAGCUCUGUUUUUGAAUAAACUAAAUUAAAGAUGCAAAAGUAUUUAGCUUGGGUUUUAUACUAGCUCUUCUCUGCCACCUGCCAUCCAGACUGAAUUAUUGUUUGUACUUUUCUUGGCAAUCUUUCUUCUUUCUCUCGUUUCUAUUUCCCAUUAGUUAAGUAGGGCUUCUCAUUUUAAAUGUAGAAUAAUUUUUUACUUUCAUUUUAAAUCCAAAAUCGUACUGGCAUGGACUAAAUCCUCAUAAAAUGUACUUUUACAGCUAUUCUUAAGCAGUGAUGUUGGCAGAAAUGCUAUUAUUCAUGCACUUUCUUUUUUUAAAUUUAUUGGAGGGAGCCAUCUUUUGUGCUUUCAAAGAAUUUCUUCGUAAUUCAGUUAAGUGCAAAGAUAACCUUUUCUCUAUCGUCAUAUUUAAAGAUCUGCUGCUUUAGACUUUUAGCAAAAGUAUUUAAACAAAAAAGCUCUGAUAUAAGAAAUGUCCUAAAGAUUUUAAGUAAUUGGAUUUGGGAAGUGAUGGAAGUGGAAAGAGAACAGCAGAAUGGUAGAUCUUGUAAGGUUGUGAAAUAGUACUUCUGCAAAGUGGUCAAAAAAGGGAAUUCAAACAGGCAGAUCUUUAAAGAAAAGAGGGGUGGGAAAAGUCCGUGUUCUGAAGCAGUAAUUAUUUAGGAAAAGGAAGUGGAGGGAAAGAAAGUCCUGGGGUCCAGUAAAGUACCAUAGACAGGGUUUAAGAUGAUGAGAUGAGGUCUGGCUUUACAUAAACCUGAAGAACUGGUGUUGAUGAGGUUUUGGCUCUUGAUAUGUACAGUGAUACUACAAGUGAGGUUAGUCUUAUAAAAAGAUGGUUUUAUGGAGAAAUGAGUUGUUCAGACUAGUAAAACGAUAGAGGGUAGCAUUUCCUAACACACGUGGUUCCCUCAGCAGAGAGAUAUCUCCAACAGUGAUGGAGCACAGAAUUCUAUCCUCCAUCCUAUGAUAAUUCUGAUUGUAGGCUGUGCUGUUGAGAACACAGUUUCUUGAAAGGAGACGUCAGCUUUAAUAUGUGUUUUACUGUCUUUUUUGUUUUUAAUAUAGAUUUGCUUUAGGCUAGGAACCGCUGUUUUCUGUCAGAUGGAAAAAUCUAUGUUUAGCAUUAUCUAUUUGCUGUCUAAUGGUGAAAUUCCAGCUUUCGUUUUAUCUGUGUAAGUUGGGACUGUUGAAGCUUUUCUCAUACGUUUUUCCUUGGCCAUUCUUUCCUGUGGUUUCACUUGUGCUGGUAUUAAUGUUUGUUUAAACAGUGAGCUUACAGUGGCUCGACUCAGCUGAAAAUUAAACAAGCAAACCAGCUUUUAUCUGGACCAGAUGAGUAAUAGCUUACUGCACUACCAUGGUGCUGUGGCCAAAAUGCUGAUACCUUCAAACAUGUCCACCUUUCUGAAGGGCUAGAACAGAUUUUGCUGUAAAUAAGACCAUCGAAUCCUAAUGCAAUGAGAGAGUGAAAACACAGGAUUUUGAAUGCUCUUGUAUUUGGCAGUAGAUUGUUCUGUUGAUGCUGUUUGAAAGCAAUUGCCAGCAUAGUGCUGAAAUAAAUUUGGAUUAAAUUAUCAUGAUUAAAACUUUUGAUUUCUUGACAGCUAUCUAUGCUUCUGUGUCUUUGAAAGAUUUGUUUAUAAAGUGUAAUAAACAAAUUGUGUUGGUAAUGAGGAGCUACCAGUAAUUUUGCUGCCUCCAGAUCUUUAACUGUAAAGGUAUCUUUGGAUAUAUUUGCACCAGACAAAGCAUUGUGUAAAUUGCAUUAUUUCUAGGUCAUGUUUCGGUCUUUUUCCAUAAGUAUCACUUACCAAGCCAAAGGCAAGCUGAACAUUCUUUUCUUGUGCAAAACUCAGAUUUCAAGGAGUUUAAGACUUUCCAAUCAACUAAACAUAGAACUUUCCUAUUGUGAAAAAACAUACUCAGCUUUUUCAAAACUGUUGCCAAUAAUGAGUUUUGGGUUGGGUCCUUAGGUAAUCUGGAGAGCUACCGCAGCAAAUUGUCUGUGGGAAAUCUGUGAUUGGAGGCAUGGGCAAAAUCUGUGAUUGUAGGCAUGGGCCUUUUGCUGUUUUUUUUUUUUCUUAAUGAGUGUUCUGCUAAGAUGCAAAAGUGACUUACUCUGUGUGAUUCUUGGCACUGCUCAGGACGGUGUCAUUCUUGUGUGCUAAGCUCAACGUGUUCCUUGGAUUGGCUGAUUGACUUUUAAAUGAGGAAGAAGACAUCUUACUAAUUAACCUUUUCCUUACUGCUAAGCAUUAAAGUGUAGGGGGUGAAAAUUACAGUACUCAAAUUUAAUAUAUAUGCUUCACACACGUGAAGCAUAUAUAUUUUUUUCUAGGCUACAUUUUUGAUUAUGUAGCCCCUAGAAGUAAUUACCUAAUAUCCAGUUUUGGUAGUGUAGGGAGUGACUGUGGGAAGAAAGAGUGCUUGGGAGUCCUUGGGCAAAGCUGUCUCUUGUUUGAAGAUUGCAGCCUGACCUUGGGUUUUACAAGUGGAAUAUUAGAGAAACAUUGCAUUAGAAGUUUCAAAGAGCUGCCAGUGGGGGAAAAGGGAGGUGAAGGAGAAAGAGAGGAAGAGAUGUGGGUUACUUGUCAUACAAAGGGGGGGGGAUAAUAUCCAGCUCAUUUUCAGUGCAAAUGAUUUCUUGAUAAUACAACAAAAGAGCAACAAUUGUCCUUGAUGCUUAUACAAAAGUUGAGGAUUUCUUUUAUGCAGUAAAUCUGACUGUCAGGGACUCUAAUUCAGUGUGUGAGAAUUGAAAGGUUUGUGACAAGCUAUUGUACUUUGAAGACCUCUAUUUUAAAAUCAAAGAAAAAGAUUGCUUUGAAUGAGAGAGUGGAAGAAUAAGGCAUUAUAUGGGCUUCAGUUACAACUGCCCCUGAAAUUAGUGGAUUCUAGACUUGAAUAUUUUCUGAGCUGUGAUGGAGAUAAACAUGUAGAAGCAACUCUCUGUGUACAAAAAAUAAACAGGUGUAACAUCUAUAAUAUAUUUGGAAUGUGUAAUAGCAUUAGUUAUUUAUUAGUUAUAUAUAUAUAUAUAUAUAUUAGUUGUUAUAAUAUAGUUUGGAAUGUGUAAUAGCAAAGUCAACUUAGUUAAAUUUAAAACAGAGCAAACACCUUGGCUUCACUUCAUGCUUUCUUCAAACUUAGGUUUUGUUCUUUGUGCACCUUCCUGGAUGCUUUUUUUUCCUCUUAGAAAAGCACUUUACUAAACAGAAUGCUGAAGCUUCUUUUAUUCUUGUGUGCAACUUUGCUUCUUGUCAGCUCUGGGCUCUAUCCAAGACCCACUCAGCUACAGGUAGGCUUUUGUUCCCUUAUUUUGCUUUGGUUUUGUGGAUGUUAGUGUGAAUUAAAUGGAAAUAAGCUUUUGUAGCAAUUGCUUUGUGUAACGAGCAACAGUUAAACUAAUCACUGCAGUCUAUGUCUAUGAAGUGUCUCAGAAGAGAAGCUUAGGGCUUGCUUCUUUUAAAUAGUGUAUUAUGAUGGCUAAUUGCAUCUUAUCUAAUUCUUCAAGAGGGAGAGUAGAGUGAGGCUGUGUUGCCUUAGCUUUACAACACUUAACUCCCCUCCACAGGAGGAAAUAGUUCUGUUCCUGCUGCAGUUAAUGGGAAAUUCUUGUUGCUGCCUCUAUCCUGUUCUUGAGGUGCUGAAAUAAUAUGGCAGAGCAAGAGACUGUGAUCCUGGCUUUGGAGAGAACCUUUGCACUUCAUUUUCUCUUUUGUGAAAGAAAAUGAUGCUUUCUCACAAGGCGGGGUAUGGUAAACAAACAGAAAUCUCUUUUUGUGCUGAAACAUGUUGCCUAAAAUCGUAUCACUGUGUCCUAGUUUAUCUUGUUAUGUUCCAGUCUUUCACUAUGGUCUAGAGAGAUUGCAGUGCUUGGUUGUAUUACUGGAAAAGAACAAAGGACCUGACACAGGGUUAUCAUAUGUGUUGCUAAAAGUUCCUUCUUGUGCUGCUGGCAUGUUAACCUCCCACCAUGUCCAUGUUGGUGUGCAGCUCCUCUUCUAGGAGCGUGCUGGGGCGGUGCUUCAUCAAUUGCAGCACAAACGUCAGCUAUAAGCUAGCCUCUCCACCACUUGCUGACACCCUAGGCGUGCUCUUAGAUUGGGGUAGGGUUCAGGCCACCCCACUGCAUUAUUGAGGUCAGCAGGGCUAAAUCAACACUGUCGCCAGCUGAGGACUUCUGGGCUUUGUGUCAUUUAAGGCCAUCCUCGAGUUGUUUCUCAGCAUCCUGAAGCACCACUGAAAAAAUGCUGCUAAAACAACUCCAGUUGGGCACCAGUGGGGCAGUGGUGUUGAUGCAGACAAAUGAAAUAACUUAAGGAUCUGCGAAGUUCCUGUUCUUUAGAUGCCUCAAUGUAACUAUAAACUCCAUGAAUAGUUGAGCUUUGUGCAACUUGUCCAGCUUGCAGAUGUUUUUGGCGACGAUGUUUGGAGGCUGUAAUCUCAUGCUUAGUUGGUGCAGUACAGUUGAAAUGCACACAGCGAUAGAUUUUCCUUCUCCUUAGUGCUUUCCACGCUCACUGCUUUGACAGUAAUGGAGCUUCUAAUUAAGAUCUCGCAGCUUCAAUUCGUGCAAUUGAUGAAAUGUUCCAAUAUGCUCUAUGUGCAGAUUGCAUAGAAGGGCAGAUCAAAUCUAAAUGGAAACAGAGAAGGUUUUAUCACCUUGGGGUAAUUGCAUGUAGCGUGCAGCCGUUGAAAUUAGAUGUGACAAAAGCGGUUGUCUCUGUUGUCACUCAGAGCAGCUGUGGGUCACGGGGCACAGGUCUGUGAAAGCAGGGGUGACCAGGCCUGUCUGCUCCUUGACAAACAGUCUGAACUGUGUGCUCACAGUAGUGCUUGCUGUGUUUGUGUCCAGAAGCCUGUCAAGCUGACUUCUAGGGACCCUGGCCCUUCUUAUUCCCAUUAUAGUGCCCCUUGGUCCCCAGAAAGGGGCUUUCCUUUGGGGUGCUCAGCUCUUGCUUUGCUGUUUAAACAUCAGCCUUAUUUUAUGAUAGUUCUUGCUGAAGUUUGCACACUAUCUGAAAGCUUUAGCAAGUAUCCAAACCAAGGAUACUUGGUGGGAGUUGAACCCUAUUGCUGAUGCGAAUCUCUUUUCUGCUCUUUCCAGUGGCAAGCUUUAUUCUGCCAAUGUGUUCUUACCUAUGGUUUACCCAAUGUUUGUCUUUUCUGCAGAGCUGUGUGCCUGUUUGUCUAAAUGCUCCUCAGUGAGGCUUUGUUGCUCUCCAGCUCAGAGCCGGUUAGAGCUGUGGAACCGACUGCAGCCUGGGCCUGUACUGUGGUAGGAAGGGAGCACAGCUAAACUCUUGAGGACAAAAGACAAUGAAUGGACAGUAUAUAGUAAGGUUUUUUGUGAGCUGCUCAGCUCUUCCAAGUGGGGGAGGAAAAGGAUCAAAAGUGAGGAAUAUUAAAGACAAAUUGAAGCUGAUGUUUGAACUACCAGUCCAGGAAACUCCAGAUACAAACUGAAUGGAAAGUUUUCCUCUGAAGUCUACAAAGAAUUUUCAAGGACAAAUCUGAAUGGAGAACAGCAAGGAUUUUCAUCUUUGUGUACUGGAACGAAGUAGUCACUGGCAGCUGGAAAAGAAACUUCAGAUUCUUGGCAGUAAACAAAAAAAAAAGGGUCCAGCUCAGAGUCUGGGGCUGAGUAGAUUUAAAGGCUUUGAGGGGCAAAUCUAAUGGUUUGGGUACAUACAAUAGAACACAUUUAUGAAAAUGAUGACGUGGGAAAUGAAGUGUAUUAGUUAGGGCUUCAAAAUAUGUAUACCUGCAUUUGGGUUCUUUGAGUACAUUUUCAGGCUGGAACAAUGUCUGAAAAUAUCUCAAACACAUUGCUUGCGCUUCAGGUUGCAGUCUGUCACUUAACUUUAAAAGAGUCAUGGAUUAUGUGCUCUGAGGUUUACAGAGAGCAAAAUCCUGGUAGGGCAGGUGUUAGGGAUGGACUCGUGUGUCCUUGAAGUGCUCCCCUCCCGCUGCAUCCCUUCCUGAACUUCUAAGGAACUCCACAAGUCUGGAUCCAUUUCAGUUCAGAUUCACCUGAAAUAAAGGUGAAUGUAUAUAGCCAUCACCAGCAGGGUGAGGUUGUCUGUCUUAGCUUUCCAGGGUGGUUUUUAAUGUCUGAAUUUGGACUGAGACAUCAGAAGAGAUGUGCAAGGGAAGAAAGAUUCAUUUUAUUUCAAGCAGGAACAUGGACGUUUUUGUUAAUUGUCUUCUAGGACUUAACCUAUACACGACCUCAUUCUGGGAAACGUGCUCAAAUAGAACAGAAGUUUUCAAAAAAUCAUUUUAUUUUGGAUUUUUUUUAAUUGUAUUUUAAAUUUACAACCAGUUUUAAUAGUAACACACAGGUUUCAGGCAUAGACAAGUACUUCACAUUUUAGUGAAAACAAAACCCUUUUGUGGAAAUAUUCUCUACUUGAAUGAGCUGUUGGGAACUGCAGUUGGAUCCAGACUGGGAUUUGCCCAUGGACAGUGGAGGUGAAUCUGCAGCACAGGCUCAGGAACUCAGGUGGGAUAUGGGAGGCUGAGCUGUAUGUCUCUGUUCUGCCUGCUUCCCCAAGGAAAGCAGUUCUUGAGAUCUUGACAUCUUUUAACAAACAAGAAAAAACACCAGCCUGUCUGUGCUGCCCAUCCCCUCUAACUUCCCAUAUUCUUUUAUUCUGACAGACUUCACUCCAUUGCUUGUUCAUGGACAAGGCAAUAGUGUUAUACUUGGGAGGCUUUGACAUACAGCCUCCUCGAAAGUGUAUUUUCUGAACUGAAUCCUCUUACUCUCAUUUCUGAAGUAGAAGCAUCCAGUUAUGCUUGGGAUACUAUUUUUUUGUGUGUGUGCAAAGGGUUGUGGUAGAAAAGAGGAAUAAGAGCUGACCGUACACAGAAAAGAAAGUAGGAAGGAGAGUAGAAAGUAGGAAAGUAGAAAGUUGAGGAGAAUUUUUUGAGAGAGCCAAAAGAACCAACUUAAUCCCAGCUGAUGCUGUCAGCCCUAUGGAGAUCAACAUUCAACAGCCAGGGCUGCCCUGUUCUGUGGCUGUGUACUGCUAUUGGUCUGCAGCUCCUGCUCCGAGGAGCUCGUCUGAUCCCACUGGGGGGAGUUCAGUACCAACUCUCAGCUGAUGUUCCAUGCCUUGGGUUUUGUAGCUGUGCUGGUUGAAAUCUGCCAACAGCAGAGCACUACACAGCUGUGCACUUGUGUUCAAAUUAAAAAAAAUUACUUACUAAGACCAAAAAGGAAGAGAAAAGGAAAAUAGUACUGAUAAUAACGUAUAUUUGUAAAAUAAGUGAUGCAUAAUGCAAUUGCUGACUGAUGCCCUGAGCAGUGUCUGCCUCCCCUGGCCAGCUCCUGUCUCCAUGGUGUCACAAGGUAUGGAAUAUCCCUUUGGGCAAAUUAGGUCAGCUCUCCUGCCAGUGUCCCCUCCCAGCUCCUUGUGGCUUGCUGGCAGGACAGUAUGAGAACCUGAAAAGUCCUUGGCUCUGUAGAGCAACAACUAAAACAUUGGUGUGUUAUUAACACUGCUUUUAUCCUAAAUCCAAAAUGUAGUAUCGUAUCAGACAACGUGGGUAAAAAAAAAAAAAAAAUCAACCAGCUGAAACAGGACAGGAGCCAAGGAACUAAAUGAUGGAAAAGAAUAGGGUGAAGGAGGUGGAUGUCCAGGCAGACAGUUCUAGAAACAGGCCCAUGGAAAGGCUUAUCUGAAGCAAUCUGAGAAUGGCUUGAGUAGAGAGAAGCUUGGGAAAUGAAGAAAACAUUGUCCAACAGGAAGAGCAGGAGGAGCUGCUGGAGGUGAUGUGCAGCUCCCUGAGUGAGGAGUCCCCACAGUGCCUGCGCAAAAGGAUUUCAGUGCUGAUGCUGUUCUGGUACAGCAAAAGUUUGCUUUUCUUCUUUGCCACUCUGUGCAGAGAAAAAGCAAUCUAAGAUCCAGAGAAUUAAAAGAAAUCAAAUGUUUUCCUCAGUUUUCUUCAGGGCCCUUCAAGGGGGAGGACAGGUGGUAUGGCACCCCAUGCCACCCCUUCUGCCUGCACUGUGGCUGUAUGCCAGUGCAGGGUGUGUCCUUUUGGUUCCAUUGCAGUACACUGCCUCCAGGUAAAACUGAGAAUAAUUGGAGAUAAUGAUAUAGUAGUAACAACUAAAUCUUCUUGCAGUCCCAAGCACAGGUUGGGUGGAGAAUCGUCUGAGGUCAGCCCUGAGGAGAAGGAUUUGGGAGUGUCAGUUGAUGAAAGAUUCAACAUGAGCUGGAAAUGUGCACUUGCAGCCCAGAAGGCCAACUGUAUCCUGGGUUGCAUCAAGAGAAGUGUGACCAGCAGGUUGAGGGAGGGGAUUCUGCCCCUCUACUCUGCUCUCACAAGACCCCGCCUGGAUUAGUAUUACAUCCAGUUCUGGGGACCCCAACACAAGAAGGACAUGAAGUUGUUGGAGCACCUUGGAGCACCUCCUCUAUGAGGACAGGCUGAGAGAGCUGGGGCUCUUCAGCCUGGAGAAGGGAAGGCUCCAGGAGGACGUUAUAGCAGCCUUCCAGUACCUGAAGGGGUAUACAGGAAAGCAGGGAAGGGACUUCUUAUAUGGAUAUGUAGUGACAGAAUGAGGGGAAAUGGAUUUAAACUGGAAGGGGGUAGAUUUAGACUAGAUAUCAGGAAGAAAUUCUUACUGUAGGGAUGGUGAGAUGCUGGAACAAGUUGCCGUGUUUUCUAAUUCAGGACCAUGUUGCUGGAAAAGCAGAAGUGAUUUUUCUGCUUUAGAUCAAUGUGAAUGCUGUAUUCUGCUUAAUCUCCCUGUUCGUUUGGGAUUCGGGCCAUAGUUAAGGCGGUCUGAAGUGUUUUUGCAGCUAGCUAGUCCAUGAAGUACAGCACAUUUGGCCUAUUUUUGGAGGUUCUUUGAGGCAGAGAUGUUUACAACGGUUGCAUAAUGGACAGGACUUCUUUUGUAAAAAUCCUCCUCGUGUGCCAGCAUCUGGUUUCUGCAAUCUCACUGCUAAUCAGCCUGGAGGUUUUAGAAACUUUCCUUUUAUUUUAUUUUUUGUGUUUUAUUUUUUUGCCUGUCAUGUUCCCUGCUGUUGGAGGUGGGGAGAGGUGAGGCCUUCAGACCUGGCAGUAGCACAAAGCUGCUGCUUGCAUUUUUAGAGCUCUGGCCCUAAGCAGUCCAGCUGACAGAGGCCUGCUAUGUUUGCAUUUUGCUGGCACUUUUCAAGUUAUUCUUGUCACCCUCUUAAUACCCUCUUUGCCCCACUGUAUUCUAGAGGGCAUGUUAGAAAAGCAGCACCAAAGGAUGAGAUGAUAAAGUCAGACCAUCUUAGAUGGCUUUCUGUGGAAGGUACUGGGACCCCAUGUCCCUUUGGUACAGGAAAGGGAAAUCUUUUAUUUGAAGAAGGCUGCAGAGAGUUUUAAAUACUAGAGCCUUGGGGAGAGCCUAUUUCACAUUUUCAUUUUGAUUAAAUUUAGCAUUGCUCAUUUUUCUGUCAAAAUUUAUGUUUAGGCAAUGAAUUUGAUAUGCUCAGGAGAUGUGGAUCAUUUCACUUUCUGUGGUUCUUAUAACGAAGGGUCAGGAGGAGGCAAGGCUUGGUAGCUGGCAGUACAGGGAAGUCCUGGCUUGUCUGGCACUGCAGCAUCCCAUCCAUCUGCCCAGGAUUUCUGUCUGUGUUCAGCUCAGUUAAGCAACGUGAUGGUGUUGAUUUCUGUCUGCAACAGAGGGGAUUGCGCUGGGCAGGUAUUUUGUAUUGUGCCGUCCUGCUGGGUUUUUUUUCAGUUGCUCUUUCAGAAGCUCCGAGCUCUUGCCCAGGAUAAACAACCACACUGUGCUGCUGAGUACUGUGCUUGGAACCUUCACACCCAAAUGCAGUCAUUCUAAGGAACAGCUUUGCUCUGUGGACAGACUCCUUCCUUCUGUGAGUAACAGGGUGGAUAGAGAAACAGAUUAACCUUGCACUAUACUAAAGCAACUGUAGGAACAACAAAAUGAGUGUUCACAGCUCAGGAAAAUCUGGAAUUUCAAAUAAACCCACUGCAUUGACCCAGGCACAGUUUGGCAGUCGUUGCUACAGGGUGUUCAAAUUAAACAAUGAGGUUCCUGGUGUGAUGGAAAAGACUUUGCAAAGCACAUUGGUUCCUCCAGGAUCCAAAUGCACUUUCCCUUUCCAAGGGGAGCUGUGGGCAUUUGGAUCCUUGCAGAGAAGUUCCUGAGGCCCUCUAUCAGCAAAACACUUUUAAGCAUGUCCUUAAGCACUUUGUGGAUGAAGGGGAGACAUGAACUCUUAAUUAUCUGUGCUGAAUAAUAAUCUGAGAGGUUACUUGAGUAUCUUUUCUAACACUUAUACUCUAGCUCUGCCCCAAAAGGCUGAGCCCAAGAGGCCAGUGCUUUACCCUCCGGCUGCAUUUGCCUUCUGUGAAUGCGCUCACUAGCCUUCAAGUAAAUGGGGCCGAUAUCUGUCUCUCUGUAGGAAUUUUGCCUGUCCUGAGUGCUUACCAGCUUAGAAGAAUAGACAUUGUGCCUUAUUCAGCUUUAACGGGAGCAGUGUCCAUCUUAUCCAAAUACCGCCGAGUGGGGGGUUAUUAAAUCAUCUGAAGGAAAAAUGAAGAAUGAAACUAGAAGGGGAUCUGGCUUUCCCUUUCACAUGCUCACAUCUGUAGCAGAAGUGUUGGUGGAUGCCUCAGCCCUACGGCACAGCUGGCACUUUGGAGCCCUUCAUGGGAGGCAAAGAAAGAAAGAAAAGAAACACCCCCAUUCCCCCACCAAAGCAGCGAGUGAUUGCAGCUGUUCUCGAGAAGGGUUGUGUCAGCACAACGUGCAUAGCCCUACUCAGAAAGUUGGUGUCAGCAGCCGUAAAAGCUGGCCUGUCAGCAUUUCUGUUGUAUUUCAUACACAAGAUGCAUGUUACUGAACAAUUACACCGAAGGCGGAGAAUAUUCCUUGGGAACACAACUUGGAAGUAGCAUCUUCCUGUGGGAACAGUUCAGACUGUGUGCUGCAGAAACCUGAGUGGUUUGGAUGCAAGGCCUUGCUGCUGGGGCUCACUGCAAGCUGUGUGGGCUGCCAAAGCCAUAGUGCCACAGCCCAGCCGGGAGCCUCAGCCCAUGUAAUUAGUCAGGUCCUGGUAAUUCUAAUGAGCUUCUGAUCAUGCCAACACAUUUAGUGUGAGGGAAGCUGGGUGAUGCUUAAGUUUUUGGCCUCCGAAGCCUUCAGAGGGUAUAUAUAACUCUAGCUUUGUCUACCGGUCUCAAUGUGUCAUUGUGCUGUAGCCACUUUAAAGGGCAGGAUGGAGAGCUGGGAUGGAGUUCUCAUCUCUGCUUACUGGGAAGCAGAAAUUAAUUAAGGAAAAAGCAAAAACCAAACCCAAAGCAAGCAAAAAGUCAUGCUCAGAGUAGUUAAGGAAGCAGGAGGAAAGGAGCAUAAAAUCCCCAGGCACUCGCUGUUGAUUUGAUCUCUAUCUGUGUACAGGAGCUUGACUAAUUAAUUACAUGUGGCUCCAAGUCUGUUUUCUGGAUCUCUUGCAGACCUCUGGAUGCUGCAGUGAUCCCAGUCGGCACAGAAGCUGCUAUGAUGCUGAGAUGUGUCUUACCACGUGUUGCCCACCUCCCAGCAUAGAGCUGCACAGAGCAGCAGGAUGCAUGAGGCUCUCUCUCCUCAACAGCCCUCAGUGGUGCUCCUAUGGGUUUGGGUGCUCGUGUGAGGCAGUGAGAGGAGUAUGAGGAGUGCUGCGUUCUGCUGGGUCACUGGUGCUGGGCAGAAACUUCAGCCCUAGGGGGGUGUAAGGCCUCAACAUUACUUUAUAGUAUAUGUACAUCUAGGAAACAAGGAACUACCACUAAUAACAGCAAAGUCUGUACCAAGAGCUCUGCAGCAGACAUCUGACCACAGCCGAAGCCACAUUUAAAGCAAGGCAGUGUCUCUGUAAGAGCUAACAUCAGUAUAACAAAGUGAUGCCAGAGGGAACAAGUUAGGAGAAAUGUUUCCAUGGAGUGGUAGUUGGUUUCUUUUCUCUUCCCCCCCGCACCCCUUUCUCCUUUCUUUUCCUUACAUCUUCCUAUUAUUUUUUUCAUCUUGAAUUCGUACUUAAACCUUUCCAACCUUUCUGAGAGUCAGGAGAAUGGUUCUGAGAGUCAGGAGCCCCUCAGAAAAGGUCAGACAACCCAAGUGCACGGCAUUCUGGCUUUCCCAUGGGCCUUCCAGUAGUAUGGCACUCAGUCAAAGCAAACAUGAAUUUUAUCUGUCAGAAGCAAGCUUUAAAGCUCGGUGAUGUGUCUAUAGCUUAAGGUACUUUUACUUUUUUGUGUUGUACAGGUUUUAUUUCUCUCCAUUAAACAUAAGCAGUCUUUUGUUUUCCUUCAUGAACCUGGUCAUUUUUCUAUAUGUUUCGAUGAGAAUUGCAUUGGGCUUCUCCCUGCCUUUCGUAGGGCAGCAUUGAUCUCUUUUUCCAUUUUGGAGAGAGCUGAAUAGAUGGCUAUGUCUAACGAGAGGAGCUUAUCCUUUGUGUUUACAGUUCAUUUCAGGAUAUCUUUCAGUAUGACUGAUCUAUAAAUGCUAAUUGUGGGUGAGGCACGUGGUAGGGGGACUUCUGCAGUCUUGCAGUUUAUGUAUAGGCAAUGCAUAUUGCUCUUCCUAAGGUUAAUAACAGAACUGAUUUUUGUGUGUUGCUCUUCUGAGAGCGACUCAAUCAUUAAUUUUUAGGCCUACAUGCAGGCAGAAUCCUGUUCAUCUCACAAAAUACAAAUAAAUGCUCUGAGGGCUAACUGCAGGAGUUUCUGUAUAAGCUAAAGCUUAACUCUGUAGGACACCACCCCAUCCCCCGCCCAGGAACUGAGCGGAUCAUCACGCCCAGCGUUUGUUUUCAACACCACCUUUGUGAAAGCACCUCAGCACAUCUGACUUGCAGGUUGCCUUCUCCCAUGUAGGCUCAUGGUGUCUCACGCUGCCCAGUUAGAGUGCUGGGUACCGUGGGGUUUUCACGACCUUCCUCAUCUGUCUGCAUGUCCUCCCUCGAGUUAUCUGGAAGCUGAGAUGUCUUCUCCACUGGUGUCCUCGAAGUGGGUUAAACUGGAGGACGGAAGCUCCCGAGAGUUUCUAAUGCUGUGGUCUUCCGACAACUCAAAUGAUUUUGGUGACUCAUAAGGAGACACAAAGGCCACCUUUUUCUCUGACUGUGAAAAUCAGAUGGCAAAACCCAACAAAUUAGGCCUGAAAGAACAGAAAAACCUCUCUUUGGUUGCCUGGGAGGGAGGAAAGGAUGGGGAUCAAUGGAUUCACUACAAAAGCAGUCACAAAGUUUCCUUUCUGUCCUGUCAUCCGUAGUGUCUUCAAAAACACUUCUUCCUGAGACAGAGCUUGAACUGGUUCUUUUUCAACUUCAGCCCUUUACGCUAUUACAACUAAUCCCCAGUGGAAAUAUUUCUUUUCCUUUCAUUACUUUUUGUGCGAAUAUUUAUACAGUUAUCUCGCUGUUUCCUUUAAUUUGUAUCCCUUUAGACCAAAUAAAUUUAGUUGCUGUCAUCUUGCUUUCAAAGUUGUAUUCUUAAGUAAUAAAGCAACAUUAAAUAUAGUUGGAAACAGACAACAUGAUGCACCUGAGGCUUCACAAUAAUUCAUGCUUUUGGACACAAUAGUGUCCAUUUUACUAAGACCAGCAAUACACUGCUGUGAAUGAGUCCCUUGUCAGGAGUUUUUGAGCAUUUGAAAUAACAGCUGUCUUUUAAAAUAAUUACGUGUGCGUGGCGUAAAAGCCUAUGUUUGAGAUUUUAUGUAAAUUCUCCAUCCUGUUUUAACAGUAAUUACAGUGAGAACUUGGAUAUUUAAUUUUUAAACACUGAAUUAAUUUUUUUUUCCUUUUUCUUGUUUGAGCACCGUGCAAUAGCUUGGAAACUCCUGUGACAUCUGACAAGGGACUUCACGGUUCCUGAUGGAACGUGUUGCACGCUCCCUCACAUCCUGCUCUGGCAACAGUAACGCCAUUCAUCCUCCAGCAAGUGGGGCUGGGAGGAAGUCCAGGGAUUAUAGGAUGCAUAAAUUUUUGAAGAUGAGAGAGUUCCUGUGAUUCAUUCCUGGGCUCCAGUGGCCCUGUCUGGACAUCUGAGAUACCUCAGAGAAUCCGCUCAACCUUGAGUUACUCAAUAGCCUUUACUCUUCUCUUGUCCUUUUGAAGAAUGGGUUUGUAGGGACAAGCUGAUAGCAGUCCAUUCCACCUUCAGGAAACCAUAUCUGAACGUCUCACAAACACAUCAACCAUCACUAGCUUUCACCCCACCAUCUGAGCGCCAACCUCAUUAAAUCUCAGGACUGCAUAAAGGAAUACUGAUGCUGGAAGGAGGUUUAAAUCAUAUAUUGGUGGAUAGCUGAUGGCACUGAGAGCCUGUGGUCUAUGAACAUACUGAAUUAUCAAGCUCCUUAAAGAAGUAAUGAAUACUGCUCAUACUAUCUGCAACGAGCAUUCCUUUGUAAUACAGAUGAAAGAACACACCAAAGCCAUGAUAGUGGAGCUGUGUCUGCUGAAAAAACAGUGCUGAGGAUGAUUUCUCCUACUCGACACUUUUAGACCUAAAACUAUGCUGUGGGAUUUGGUUUUGGUUUGUUUGCUUGCUUGCUUUUGGCAUGCUCUCAGAACUACAGAUUAUUUGGCAGCUGAAGGCCAGCUAUGAGUUGUGUUGCAGGGUGACACAUUUCAUGGAAAUUUAAUGCAAAUAGCAAUCAUUCUCAUCAGGAGCAGAAACAGGAGAUCUCUCGCCUUUCUAGCAACUGCAGACACCUGCAUGAGAGUGAACUGCAUGAGAGUGAAUUGCUUGUGUCAAGCCAGCUGCCUUACAAAACAUCCAGCACAAUGGAUGCUUUUUACGACCAACAAACUUAAAAUUACUGCUCUUGUAUGCCUGGAAACCUUUAUUUCAUUUUCAUACUGUUUCCUUUGAAGAAUUUAUUAAUGCAUGCAAACAUGUAGCGUGUUCUUUUAACCUGUGUUUGCUGCAAUGUUUACAUUAUCUCCUGAUCUUAACCUGUAGCUUCCCAUUACGAAGACAUGUUACCAUAAAACACCACAAGGCAAAAAAAUGCCAUCGUUUUAAUGUUCUGCAAGUGUGCUACAAGUAAACUGUGCUGUACUGAACUCGGUCAAAAUACUCAAUGCAUUUUGAGCACACUACCACCAAUAUAUUGGUGGCCCACUUUGCCACACGCAGAAGGACAAUGAUGUGCUUAUUGACGCAUCUCUUUAUUCUGAACAGAGGGAACUCACUUGGAUGCCACUGGUCCAUUCAGCCCGGCCAAACACUGGUUUAAAAAACAGUGAUGUCUUUCCCAAGCACAUCAGAGGCUGCCUGUACUGUACAGAGGCUGCAAAGGGUUCAGGCUGUACUACGGGAUGUUACAAAGAUAAGCAAGCUGAUUUUGGAAUAUUGCACACACUUACCGUAUUCAGAUGAUUUUAGUUACUGCACCAGACUCCUAAAGUGAAUAUUCUUUAGGAUUACUUGUUAAGGCAUAACCCAGCUUGCCCAUAUCAGAAGAGUUUUCUAUACUUUGUUCACUCUUCAGCGUCACCUGCAGUAGUAUUACAGCUCUUCAACUUGCCACCUUGCAUGCUCCAUUCAGGUGACAAGAACACUUAAUGGCACUGAGCAGAUAAAGGGCUGGAGGGCUUUUACAGGCUCUACUAAAGUGCUUUCUUCAGACUAGAAGUGCACAAUACCACGGUGAUAAGGCUGUCCUGUGCUGAUCUAAGGAAGCCUCUGAUAAGGAAUAUAAUAGGAGCAAUAGGUAAGAUUAAAAAAAAAAAAACUUUCAUUCCAAAAACUGUGUAUCUGUGUAUACCAACUGCUUACAGAGUUUUCUCUGAAGCUCAUGUUUGCAAAGUGUUGCAUGCUUCAGCUCCAUCUUAAAUGGUUUCAUGCCACAAACCGUGGGCCAUUUAUUGCUCAUCACUCCAAAGCCAUUGAACUCUUCAGCUGGGCAGUCUGCUCUCUCCAGCCUUCCCACUGAGAAUAAACAAGAAAUUGGCAGGGAUGGGGAGAAGGGGACAUCAAAGAGUGCCAGGAAGGGCCAACUCAGAACAGCCCUACCCUAUGCAGCCAGGGACUGGGCUGGUGUUUUAGUGCCAUGCACAAUAGUUUAACUAUGUGAAUCAGCCCACACAGCUGUAAAAAUCACUGGACCCGUGAUAAGAAAAUGAAAGACAGUACUGUUGAUGGUUUCUGGGUUCGCUUGUUUGCUUUUAUAUCUCACUCUCUGUAUAUCUGCCUUAAUCACAAGCUAAAAGCCUUGUGAAGGAUCAGCGACCUAAAUAAAAACUGCAUCUCUGA